AAGUCGUAACAAGGUAACCGUAGGUGAACCUGCGGUUGGAUCAUUAACAAAGAUUGCAAAUGCAAAGGGGAUGCAUCCCUGCCGCAUGCUGCAGCUUUCACUUUUUGUUCACUGUAUUGUCUCUGGCGGGCGGACGGGUGCAAGCCCGUCUGUCAGUUCUCAGAUGCAAAUUUUUUGCCUUUGUGGACCGUGGACAAUCCGCCAAACAAAAAACACACUGUGUCUUAACACCUUUUCUGUCUGAGCGUCCUUGCAUGCAAUAUCAUUUGCAUCCAAGUUUGCAACAACUUUUGGCAACGGAUCUCUUGGCUCUC
rnacentral:misc_RNA from 1 species